CCGGGCGGUCGUUGAGGGUCCGGGGACUGUGGGUACCACUUUCUUGAAACGGAGGUUAUAAGCUACAGAGAAAUGAAAACAAAAGAGUGCUUAGCCAUGAAAAUACAUUUCCAUCUACCAUAGAGGGCGAAACGGAAGUGAUAAAUGCCUAGAACCACAGACACAUUUUUCAUCCUAGCAGCCCUGGUUAGUUCUUCAUUGGAAGAAAACUACUGCCUACAGAAGGGAUGAAAAAAAGGAACGAGACAUUAGCUAAGAGCUUGGAAACGUCAACAACGUUCUCCAGCAGUAUCCUCAAGCAAGUCUUGUGUUGUUUGAAGGGAAUACAAGCGUGAUGUUUGCAGGUCUAGGAUAGUGAUGAGACCUGCUCUGAGAGUAAGAAUUUGAAUGGACACCUGUCUGACUACAGCCCCUGCAAGGUUUUUUUAUCCUAAAACUAAAAACAGUGAAUUAAGGUUCUCCCUUAAUUCCUAAAAAAAUGUUCAACAUACAGUUGAAAACUCAAAAAAAAGAUACAGAAAGAAUUCUCUGGAAAUGUCACUCUGGAGAUUGAUAGAAUGUUCAAUAUUUCUAUUAAAGUUGUUAUCUGCAUGUGUGUACAGGGCAGUGUGUCAUAUAAACCUAUUUUUAAUGAGACUAUAUGUACAGUUUUUUAUAUCCUUUUUCACUUUGCCAUGAAUCACUUUAGUGAUUUAGAGAACGUUCCAAAUCAAUGAAUAAAGAUAAAUACUUUUAAGGGCCUACUACUAUUAUCUGACUUUAUUCAAUGGCUAUUUGGUUUAUUAGAAAAUCUGAAAGAUAUGUAAGAUGAUGUAAUCAAUACUCUUGUAUGUGUUCUGUUUCUUGUCUCCUAAAUUAUUGUUCACUGACAGAUUUUUAAGAUGAAAAUUCUUGGAC
rnacentral:lncRNA from 1 species